UAAGGAUGGGUACUUAGGA
rnacentral:misc_RNA from 1 species